rnacentral:rRNA from 1 species
GUAGGUGGCAAGCGUUGUCCGGAAUUAUUGGGCGUAAAGCGCGCGCAGGCGGUCCUUUAAGUCUGAUGUGAAAGCCCACGGCUCAACCGUGGAGGGUCAUUGGAAACUGGGGGACUUGAGUACAGAAGAGGAAAGCGGAAUUCCAAGUGUAGCGGUGAAAUGCGUAGAGAUUUGGAGGAACACCAGUGGCGAAGGCGGCUUUCUGGUCUGUAACUGACGCUGAGGCGCGAAAGCGUGGGGAGCAAACAGGGAUUAGAUACCCUGGUAGUCCACGCCGUAAACGAUGAGUGCUACGUGUUAGGGGGUUUCCCGCCCCUUAGUGCUGCAGCUAACGCAUUAAGCACUCCGCCUGGGGAGUACGGCCGCAAGGCUG